GAGGUCAGCUGUGAAUAUCCAACUUCUCUGCAGCUGCUAAACCAGGGGGAUACUCCACAGGUGCUGAGUGCCUUGUAAAACAGGGCUCGGUUGGUCUGUGCUUGCUCUCUUCAUCUGUGUCAAUGCCCUGGACUUGCAUGAGUGCUCACAAAUGCUCCUGUGGAGUUGGUGACUUGGUAGUGCACUGGCCAUGGUAUUUAUCAGUAUGGAGAAGUGUCCUACAUUCAAGUCCUUAGCAAUCAUGCUAAAGAAUCUCUUCUUCCUACAAAAUACCAUGAAGGCAUCGUCAUAAAGCUGUUCCUACAAGCAAGCUUACCAAUGCACUGCAGAUCUGUCCUGUCAUGCACAGAGUCCCAUGAGUGCCACUUUAAUGAUCCAGGUGUAUACACAUCAUCCUCCAAGCAAGUCAAAAGCAUGAAUGCUGUGAAGACAGGAACCAUGCACUUCCACGGGGACACUGAUCAUGGCAGCUGCUACUACAAAUGUCCUCUCCUGCUCCUGGGACCAGCAGCCUAUGAGCAAACAGAGCCAUACCCUUUUUCCACAAGUUCCUGACAAGAAACAUCAGACUUGCAGAUUCAGAGAUAUCAGGCUCCAACAGUACCUCACCAAAGACUUUUCUGGGCAUAAUUCUGGCUAAAUAAUGACCAGCAGUAAUCACUCCCACGUCAGUGGCCCAAGAAGCUACCUAGCCUGAAGCAGCAGGACAGGACAGGAUUUGAACCCAAGGAUGCUUCCUGAUAACCUUUCUGGUAGAUGAGCUGUAGAAGUAGAACUGUUAUUUAUUAUUCCUUUCAUCUGUUUGAAGCUCUAGAGAGUGCAGGUCUGUAACUUUACUCUUGUGUCAGCAGGGGGAUGGAAGUGAGAAGCAAAAACAGAAAAGUGAAAGCAGCUUGGUGCUGUCUCUGGAGCCAGGGCAACCAUGAGUGCUCCUUUGGGCUGCUUCUGGGGAAGGCUUCACUUUGCACAAGGCAACUCCAUAUGGUGAAGCAAUAAAAUCUGCUUCAGCUUGUUCUUUUUGUCUGUG
rnacentral:lncRNA from 1 species